GUGAGGUUUUACGUGGAAUCGAUACAUAUUCAUGAUAUCGUCGUUAAAUGCGUCGUCAUUGGAUUUAAGAUUGAUUCGAGACAUAAAUCGCGCGAGUGAAGCAAAUGUGGCGGGAGAAGCAAACGUCAAUGCAGUGGACGAUCGUGUUUGCUCAUGUCUUUUGAAAAAGUCCGUGAGAUGGCUCUUAAUGAAUAUUUCCCGUCGGUAAAAUAUGACGUAUCGCGCGCAAGAGAGAAACAUGGCGGGAGGAAAAGGAGUUUGAGAAAUUGUUUGUGCACAUUUAUCUAACAAGGCAACGUUUAUUUAACAAGGGAACACAUAUAUUGGCAUUCUUAUUGUUCAUCGUUGGACGACAAUCAACAUACUUUUGGGAGAAGAGGGUUAAUCAUCAGAAGGAUCAUGCUGUAAAUUUUUUUAAAUGGUACAUUUCUUGGAACGAUUUGCUGUUACAACCAUAAAACAUCGAGAGAAAAACAGAAGAAAACAUCAAACCAUAUUCGAGUUUGCGAGCCUCGUAUAACACGUACUAUAUUACCUUCGAUCUAUCUGCACCCACGCCGCGCCCAGGACGAUCUCCUUGAGAAAAAUGUGGAGUCUGAGUAAGCACGAAGGAACGACUAUCCUUUAUCUUUACGAUCUUCAUCGCGUUCCUUUUAAACUAUGCUUUUCCCGCACUUUUCUUCCCGUUAUUUUUCAAGAUGCGCAUAUACAUGUUGAGAAAAGAAUAAAAAAAUUUUAAUCUUUCAAUAGUUGAAAUAUUUAAGAUAGUCGUGACAGAU
rnacentral:lncRNA from 1 species